CCGGGACAACCCUUAGUGCAUGCUAAAUCCACAAAACCAGCAGUGAGAGUAAAUCCUUACCGGCAAGAAUCCAGCCCCACUCCCCACUCCAGGAGCCUCUAACUGGCUGGAGUCCACCAGUCCAUCUGGAUAUCACAAGAUGAAUCCAGCAAAGAGGACAAGGCAGAGGAAGAGUGAGGAGGGCUAUCCAGCCCUAGGCUGCCCGCCUCUCAUCCCCUCUGGAACUCUGUGGUCUCCCUCAAGAAACCUUCCCAAGCUCACCUCUCAUCAUGUGAGCUACCUGCUGUGCCCAGAAUCUGACCCUCCUCCUCCUCUUCUUCCUCCUCCUCUUCCUCCGCCUCCUCCUCCUCCUCCUC
rnacentral:lncRNA from 1 species